UGAGGAAUAUUGGGCAAUGCCCGCAAGGGUGACCCAGCAACGCCGCGUGGAGGAUGAAUGUCGUAAGAUUGUAAACUCCUGCUAGAGGGGAAGAAUAGUACCGGUUGGACCGGUAUAUGACUGUACCCUCAGAGAAAGCCCCGGCUAACUACGUGCCAGCAGCCGCGGUAAUACGUAGGGGGCAAGCGUUGUCCGGAUUUACUGGGUGUAAAGGGCGCGCAGGCGGGAUAAAAAGUCAGUGGUGAAAUCCUACAGCUUAACUGUAGAACUGCCUUUGAUACUUUUAUUCUUGAGUUCGGGAGAGAGGGACGGAAUUCCAGGUGUAGUGGUGAAAUACGUAGAUAUCUGGAAGAACACCAGUUGCGAAGGCGGUCUCUUGGUCCGACACUGACGCUGAGGCGCGAAAGCGUGGGGAGCAAACA
rnacentral:rRNA from 1 species